rnacentral:miRNA from 1 species
UGAGUAGUAUUCCAUUGUGUAUGUAUGUAUGUGUAUAUAUAUAUAUAUUUGUAUACACACACACACAUAUACACACACAUACACACACACACACAC